UCACCUGGAAGACAGAACCGACACUGGGUGCCGGGAACCUCCGUGCCCCCGCUCCAUGGGUCCAGCGGCUGCAGACCCCCCCCCCCAACGGUGCCAUCGAGGCGGGAGAGCCCCCAAGACCGGUGGUGGCCAGGGACACGGUUAAAGACGGCAGUGACCCCGCCGGCUGCUCUGUGACUAGACUCUGUGCCCCGAGGUGCGGCCGCCUCCCCAGCGAACGGAAGGAACUGAGGCCAGGAAAGGGCUCCCCAACUGUCCUGGUGGGGGCCGCCCCGGAGUCGGGCAGCUCUUGGGGUGACCCCCGCUCAGGAUGCCACCACCAGGGGCCCGGAGUGGGGCUCGGCACUGUGGCGGCCCAGAGCGGUCCUCACAGAGGUGGCUGAGCACCCAGGCGAUCUGCGGAAGAACCGCUCACAGCCACAGCUGCUCGCGGUUGACAAGAGCGACACUUCACAUGACAAAAGAACACUCUCCGGCCGGCCGGCUCUGACAGGGAGGGCAGAGCCAGCUCUGAGGCUCCCCAGGCGCCCCCUGCCACGGUUCCUCUUCCAGCCCAGGCUCCAGGCUCAGAAAGAUGACCCAGACAACACCCGGGGGCCAGUGGGGCAGUGCCGGGGGCCUCCUCAGACUACCUCACGGGUCACUGUGCAGGCAGGGGUCUCAGACACGCGGCUUCCGAGGAUCAGUGCCGAACAAUCAGCGGAAGCCGAGAGUGGCGGAGGCCUCCCCCCGACCUGCUCCCUGCUAGUCAGAGUGCCCCCCUCUCCCUCCGACCCCCUCUGGUGCCCCCCUCCAACAAAUAACCCCCAGGAAAACCCAGGUGGUGCUGUCCCUUUUCUGUCCUCAUACAACUAAGAGGCAGGACAGUCAAGAAGGCUAUCUGUGUGCAGGAGCUAAGAACCUUCUAUUCAGAAGCACCCGAACGUAUACCUGCCCUUGCCGAAAAGAGAGGCCUAACUGCUUGGCGUAAAACACGGUUACACGGGAAGCCCUUCUGCAGAGGCAGCAGGACAACGUCAUCCCACUCAGGGGCCACCGAGAGAGGAGAGACGUCUCUUGAAUGAUGUGGGAAAUCAGGUGGCGGCGGCCCACCAACCACACCACCGGUCGCUUCCGCUGAGUGAGGUAAGACCUAGAAGAGACUGAGUUUCCCACAAAGCCCUGGAGUCAAGUCUUAUUUCUUUCAGUCUGGGAAAAUGCCUCUGAUUACGCACCAAGGCCUACAAUCAAUCUUACCUCGCGCCAACCUGUGAACUGGGGUUCCAUUAAACUAAAAUGGAAAUCA